GAAAACAUGUCGACUUUAGACAGACGUGCUGUGACUCGGUUUAGAUCUGAGUUGUUCCCUGUUUUCGUCCCGUGUAUUUUCCUCUCCUCUCAUUCCUGAUCCUGCUUCCCUGCUCGGCUGGUUUCAGCUCCUCCCUGACUGUCUGCCUCCGCCCUGAUCUAACACCUGGUGUGAGUGUGUGUGUAUAUAGUCCAUGUGUUUCCCCUGUUUGUUGCCAGUUUGUCUUCUUGUCUCCGUGCACAAAUGUCCCAGCUUUUAAUUCCAGUUGUCCUCUAGUGUUUCCUGGUUAUGGACUCUGCCUCAGCCUGAUCCCUGCCUGAUGUGUUCGCCUCGCUGACUGGCUCCUGUGUACCGAACCUACUUUACAAACAGAAGUGUCCCUGACCUGCUGGGAUGCAGUGGAAGGUGGUGUCCAGCUGCAGCAGAAGAUCAAGAGUCGAGUGAAUCACAGAUUACCCAGCUGAAAGUUAUACAUCACUAAUAAUUAUGUCAAAGUGGCUACGAACCUUCGGGAGUUUUGAGAAGAAAAAAAAUGGACCAGAACAUUUGCAUGAAGCAGCUCCCAGACUUCCAGGACGCCCUUCUGCGAGCACUGUAUGUUGUGCAGCUGCUGUGGCGGUCUGUCCUCACUGCAGGUCUCCUUGUCAGCUCGUCCAUACAGCGCUGCCUGCACGUGG